GGGAAGGGGUGACUAGUGACAGAGUGAGGAAGGGGGUGACUAGUGACAGAGGGAGGGGUGACUAGGGACAGAGUGAGGGAGGUGGUGACUAGUGACAGUAACCACCUCCCCCACUCUGUUACUAAUCACCACCUCGCUCACUCUGUCACUGUGUCACCCCCUCCCUCUGUCACUGGUCACCCACUCCCUCCCUCACUCUGUCACCAGUCAUCCUCUCACUCUGUCACUAGUAACCCCUUCCUUCCCUCACUCUGCCACUAGUCACCCCUUCCCUCACUCUGUCACCCCCUCACUCGGUCACUAGUCACCCCCUCACUC